ACGAACGCUGGCGGCGUGCUUAACACAUGCAAGUCGAGCGGUAAGGCCCCUUCGGGGGUACACGAGCGGCGAACGGGUGAGUAACACGUGGGUGACCUGCCCUCAGCUCUGGGAUAAGCCUGGGAAACUGGGUCUAAUACCGGAUAUGACUCCAUGACGCAUGUCGUGGGGUGGAAAGCCUUGUGCGGCUGGGGAUGGGCCCGCGGCCUAUCAGCUUGUUGGUGGGGUGAUGGCCACCAAGGCGACGACGGGUAGCCGGCCUGAGAGGGCGACCGGCCACACUGGGACUGAGACACGGCCCAGACUCCUACGGGAGGCAGCAGUGGGGAAUCUUGCGCAAUGGGACGAAAGCCUGACGCAGCGACGCCGCGUGA
rnacentral:rRNA from 1 species